rnacentral:rRNA from 1 species
UACGUAGGUGGCGAGCGUUGUUCGGAAUUACUGGGCGUAAAGGGCGCGUAGGCGGCCUUCUAAGUCGAACGUGAAAUCCCCGGGCUCAACCCGGGAACUGCGUCCGAGACUGAAAGGCUUGAAUCCGGGAGAGGGAUGUGGAAUUCCAGGUGAUAGCGGUGGAAAUACGUAGAUAUCUGGAGGAACAUCGGUGGCGAAGGCGGCAUCCUGGACCGGUAUUGACGCUGAGGCGCGAAAGCCAGG